rnacentral:rRNA from 1 species
UGGGGAAUAUUGGACAAUGGGCGCAAGCCUGAUCCAGCCAUGCCGCGUGAGUGAUGAAGGCCCUAGGGUUGUAAAGCUCUUUCACCGGUGAAGAUAAUGACGGUAACCGGAGAAGAAGAUCCGGCUAACUUCGUGCCAGCAGCCGCGGUAAUACGAAGGGGGCUAGCGUUGUUCGGAUUUACUGGGCGUAAAGCGCACGUAGGCGGACUUUUAAGUCAGGGGUGAAAUCCCGGGGCUCAACCCCGGAACUGCCUUUGAUACUGGAAGUCUUGAGUAUGGUAGAGGUGAGUGGAAUUCCGAGUGUAGAGGUGAAAUUCGUAGAUAUUCGGAGGAACACCAGUGGCGAAGGCGGCUCACUGGACCAUUACUGACGCUGAGGUGCGAAAGCGUGGGGAGCAAACAGG